UACGGAGGGUGCAAGCGUUAUCCGGCUUCACUGGGUUUAAAGGGUGCGUAGGCGGACAGGUAAGUCAGUGGUGAAAUCUUCGAGCUUAACUCGGAAACUGCCAUUGAUACUAUUUGUCUUGAAUACUUUGGAGGUAAGCGGAAUAUGUCAUGUAGCGGUGAAAUGCGUAGAUAUGACAUAGAACAACAAUUGCGAAGGCAGCUUACUACACAGUUAUUGACACUGAGGCACGAAAGCGUGGGGAUCAAACAGG
rnacentral:rRNA from 1 species